rnacentral:tRNA from 1 species
GGCCAGAUAGCUCAGUCGGUAGAGCAAGGGACUGAAAAUCCCUGUGUCGUCGGUUCAAUUCCGACUCUGGCCA